rnacentral:lncRNA from 12 species
AUGGCUGACAAAGCCUCACAUAUUUACCUCUUGGCCCUUUACAGAACGUUUGUGGAUGUCUGGCCUAGGAUCCUGAGAUUCACGGAGAAUUCUUUGGGCCUGUGUCCUCAUUGUCCACCCUUGGCAGUCUCAGUGUCAUACCUGAGCAGGGGCUGUGUACCAAAAGCACUGGCUGUGGUACAGGCUGUCUACCUUCGUGUCCCUGACCUGUGACAAAAACUCAAUGGCACAGAGCAUGUCCACCACGGUGCAGUGACGAGCAUCUCCCCACCAGGUGAGUUUGACCUGAGCCAGUUGUUACUGGCAUUGAAGCAUUGCGGCUACUGAUUUUUGGGGCAUAUCUGGCCUUUCUGUGGUCAGGGCACGGGCCCUGUAGGAGACGGCCAUACGUGGACUGUGGAUGGUGAUAUGCACCCAAGACGAAGAGGAUGAACAAAGGUUGCUUGCGGGGGGGUGGGGGGGUGGUCGCAGACACCUCCCAUUGGGUUCAUUUAAUUGUCAAAAAUAGAGGCCUGGUCAAGCGCCUCUCAAAAAAGGUUUGUGGAAGGAUACAAAGCUUUUGUGGAGCUUCUGAGGCAGAACUUGUACCCUAGGAUUUGUACCCCAGGCAAAACUUGUACCCCUUCAUUCCUUGCAGGAAUUAAGACCCGAGGGGAAUUGUAUUUAAUAGGGUAUUGUGGGGAGUAGCCUCUUUCUGCUUCUCCCCACACAUUGGCUCUGCUCCCCUCCUUCCCACCCCACGGGCUCUCACCUCUUCCUCUUAUUAAGUCUUAGGUGUGAAAAUGCUGCAAAUGAAACAUCCCUUUUCCUCUCAACGUUGUACUUACGGCCAUGAGAUAUCCAGCCUG